GACGAACGCUGGCGGCGUGCCUAAUACAUGCAAGUCGAGCGGGCCUCCGGAGGUGCUUGCACCUCCGGAAGGCCAGCGGCGGACGGGUGAGUAACACAUGGGCAACCUGCCUUUGAGGCCGGAAUAACACCGGGAAACCGGUGCUAAUACCGGAUACGUCCUCUUUCGCGCCUGCGAGAGGGGAGAAAGACGGUCUUUAAGGCCGUCGCUCAAAGAGGGGCCCGCGGCGCAUUAGCUGGUUGGUGGGGUAAGGGCCUACCAAGGCGACGAUGCGUUGCCGACCUGAGAGGGUGAUCGGCCACACUGGGACUGAGACACGGCCCAGACUCCUGCGGGAGGCAGCAGUAGGGAAUCAUCCGCAAUGGGCGAAAGCCUGACGGUGCAACGCCGCGUGAGUGAGGAAGGUUUUCGGAUCGUAAAGCUCUGUUGUGAGGGAAGAACAGCUUCCGGAGGAAAUGCCGGAGGUUUGCCGGUACCUCACCAGAAAGCCCCGGCUAACUACGUGCCAGCAGCCGCCGUAAAAC
rnacentral:rRNA from 1 species